GGCUGAGUGAUCAAGCAGUACCAAUUACACAGAAGCUGUGGCUUUGUACGCCAUUGCAGCUUCCUCAAACAUGAGUAAAACAAGCCUCUGUAUGUUAAAACACAAAAAAAUAAGGCUAAAAAGAAAGAACCAGAGUGCCCUCUGGGAUGAGUUCACACAAUAGAGAAUGAACAAAGUUCUCAGCACACCACAGCUAGGCAACUGCAGAACCCAGAGGUGAUUCAUCCCCAACACACGUACCAUCACAGAUGGUCCAUGGAUGAAGCAGCAGAACUUCUUAAUAAUUUUCAGUUCAUAGCCAUCUUGGUAGAGACUCACAAUGGAUGUAUGAGCACAAACCCUGAAAUUAUGGAGAUAACAUUGGGAUUUCGGAAUACAGGCCUGACAGCAAUAACAGCUGUUAUUGUAGCAGAUCACCAGAGAUUUAAAGAGUUUCUUGUAUCCAAGGAGUACUGCUGCAGCGUGGAGGUCAGGGUCCUGACAAAGAGCUACAGUACAAUGUUAUAAUGACUUCCACUGCUGUAAAACUUUGAAUCUAAACAAAUAAAUGUGUC
rnacentral:lncRNA from 1 species